rnacentral:rRNA from 1 species
CGCAAGAGCACUCUAAGGAGACUGCCGGUGACAAACCGGAGGAAGGUGGGGAUGACGUCAAGUCCUCAUGGCCCUUAUGGGUAGGGCUUCACACGUCAUACAAUGGUCGGAACAGAGGGUUGCCAACCCGCGAGGGGGAGCUAAUCCCAGAAAACCGAUCGUAGUCCGGAUUGCACUCUGCAACUCGAGUGCAUGAAGCUGGAAUCGCUAGUAAUCGCGGAUCAGCAUGCCGCGGUGAAUACGUUCCCGGGUCUUGUACACACCGCCCGUCACACCAUGGGAGUGGGUUUUACCAGAAGUGG